GAGCAGCGGCAAGCAGCGCAGCAAAAAAAAAAAAAAAAAGGACCUGCAAGAAGAAGCAUAUAGACCUACCAUAAAGAUUAUUACAAAAAAAGCCAAAAUUAGCGAACAUACAUGACAAACUAUAAUUUCCGAUAUCUUGUUUGUGAUAAUCUGCUAAAUGCUCAAAAUGAAAAAUUCUCUUAAAGUCAAAAUUGUGCUCUCUCUAGCUGGAAACACAGAUGCCGAUUGCUAAGCCUCAAUAUGAUUGGAGAAAAAACAGAAAGAUUUUCCGUAAGUAAGCCAGACGAAUUAUGGUAUAGAUUAACCACUACCACCAUAGUAUACAAAGUAGAUAAUUUCAAAACUACCAGAACGCUAGAAAACCAAAAUUGCAAAUAGUAUAGAGUUGAAGAAGAAUGAGAGAUCAAAUUAGGGAGCGCGAAGAAGUACCUUUCUUUUUUACGUGUGUCCU
rnacentral:misc_RNA from 1 species